rnacentral:rRNA from 1 species
CAUUAAAGAAUGCUCGGGGAUGUUGCUGGCCUGUUUAACAAGCAAGUGCACUCCUUGAAAACACUUGACCCCCUUUUCUCACACCUGUGCACCUUUGUAGGGUGGCGCCAUGCUGCGCCCCCUAUGUAUUUUUUCUCCUUACAAACUCCAUUUGAAUGUCUUUUUAAAGAAGUAAAACUGGCCUGUGGAGCAUUUCAGAAAUGGAAUCUCUGUCGGGCAAAGUUUAUUAAUUAACACAACUUUCAACAAUGGAUCUCUUGGCUCUCGCAUCGAUGAAGAACGCAGCGAAAUGCGAUACGUAAUGUGAAUUGCAGAAUUCCGUGAAUCAUUGAAUCUUUGAACGCACCUUGCGCCUCUUGGUAUUCCGAGGGGCAUGCCUGUUUGAGUGUCAUUGAAUUCUCAACUUGACUCUUGAGUCAAGCUUGGAUCUGGAGGUUGCUGGCUCAUAACAUGGUCGGCUGCUCUAAAAAGCAUUAGCGAAUCAACCUCUCGAGGGUUUGCCGGCAUUGAUAACCGUCUAUGCCUAAAAAUCCUCAAUUCUGUUGUUUGCUCACAAAGGUCCUGUCAAGGACAGCCUAUUUUUUGACAAUUACCUCAAAUCAGGUAGGACUACCC